GUCGACGAACUUACCCUUUGUUUACAUUGGGAGCGGUUAGUGGCGGACUGGUGAGUAACACGUAAGCAACCUGCCUAUUAGAGGGGAAUAACAGUGAGAAAUCAUUGCUAAUACCGCAUAUGCUCACAGUAUCACAUGAUACAGUGAGGAAAGGAGCAAUCCGCUAAUAGAUGGGCUUGCGUCUGAUUAGCUAGUUGGUGGGGUAACGGCCUACCAAGGCGACGAUCAGUAGCCGGACUGAGAGGUUGAACGGCCACAUUGGGACUGAGAUACGGCCCAGACUCCUACGGGAGGCAGCAGUCGGGAAUAUUGCGCAAUGGAGGAAACUCUGACGCAGUGACGCCGCGUAUAGGAAGAAGGUUUUCGGAUUGUAAACUAUUGUCGUUAGGGAAGAUAAAAGACAGUACCUAAGGAGGAAGCUCCGGCUAACUAUGUGCCAGCAGCCGCGGUAAUACAUAGGGAGCAAGCGUUAUCCGGAAUUAUUGGGUGUAAAGGGUGCGUAGACGGAGGAACAAGUUAGUUGUGAAAUCCCUCGGCUUAACUGAGGAACUGCAACUAAAACUAUUCCCCUUGAGUGUCGGAGAGGAAAGUGGAAUUCCUAGUGUAGCGGUGAAAUGCGUAGAUAUUAGGAGGAACACCAGUGGCGAAGGCGACUUUCUGGACGAUAACUGACGUUGAGGCACGAAAGUGUGGGGAGCAAACAGGAUUAGAUACCCUGGUAGUCCACACUGUAAACGAUGGAUACUAGGUGUAGGGUGUAUUAAGCACUCUGUGCCGCCGCAAACGCAUUAAGUAUCCCACCUGGGGAGUACGACCGCAAGGUUGAAACUCAAAGGAAUUGACGGGGGCCCGCACAAGCAGUGGAGUAUGUGGUUUAAUUCGAAGCAACGCGAAGAACCUUACCAGGGCUUGACAUAUACC
rnacentral:rRNA from 1 species